CUACGGGAGGCAGCAGUGAGGAAUAUUGGUCAAUGGGGUUACCCCUGAACCAGCAAUGCCGCGUGUGGGAUGACAGCGCUUUGCGUUGUAAACCACUGUCGGACGGGACGAGAAGAGGCAGAAGCCUCCGGGACGGUACCGUCAAAGGAAGGGUCGGCUAACUACGUGCCAGCAGCCGCGGUAAUACGUAGGACCCGAGCGUUGUCCGGAUUUACUGGGUGUAAAGGGUGCGCAGGCGGAUGCAUGUCGUCAGGGGUGAAAUACGCGGGCUUAACCCGCGGACUGCCUUUGAAACGGUGCAUCUUGAGUGCGAGAGAGGCGCGUGGAAUUCCUGGUGUAGCAGUGAAAUGCGUAGAUAUCAGGAGGAACACCGGCGGCGAAGGCGGCGCGCUGGCUCGCAACUGACGCUCAGGCACGAAAGCGUGGGGAUCAAACAGGAUUAGAUACCCUGGUAGUCCACGCCCUAAACGAUGCAUGCUUGGCGUCGGGUCAGCAAAUGACUCGGCGCCGGAGGAAA
rnacentral:rRNA from 1 species